rnacentral:rRNA from 1 species
UAAUACGGAGGGUGCAAGCGUUGUUCGGAUUUAUUGGGCGUAAAGCGCGUGUAGGCGGUUUGUUAAGUCUGAUGUGAAAGCCCUGGGCUCAACCUGGGAAGUGCAUUGGAAACUGGCAGACUUGAAUACGGGAGAGGGUAGUGGAAUUCCUAGUGUAGGAGUGAAAUCCGUAGAUAUUAGGAGGAACACCGGUGGCGAAGGCGGCUACCUGGACCGAUAUUGACGCUGAGACGCGAAAGCGUGGGGAGCAAACAGGAUUAGAUACCCUGGUAGUCCACGCCGUAAACGAUGAGUACUAGGUGUUGCGGGUAUUGACCCCUGCAGUGCCGCAGCUAACGCAUUAAGUACUCCGCCUGGGAAGUACGGUCGCAAGACUAAAACUCAAAUGAAUUGACGG